rnacentral:rRNA from 1 species
UAGGGAAGAACAUAUGUGUAAGUAACUGUGCACAUCUGGACGGUACCUAAUCAGAAAGCCACGGCUAACUACGUGCCAGCAGCCGCGGUAAUACGUAGGUGGCAAGCGUUAUCCGGAAUUAUUGGGCGUAAAGCGCGCGUAGGCGGUUUUUUAAGUCUGAUGUGAAAGCCCACGGCUCAACCGUGGAGGGUCAUUGGAAACUGGAAAACUUGAGUGCAGAAGAGGAAAGUGGAAUUCCAUGUGUAGCGGUGAAAUGCGCAGAGAUAUGGAGGAACACCAGUGGCGAAGGCGACUUUCUGGUCUGUAACUGACGCUGAUGUGCGAAAGCGUGGGGAUCAAACAGGAUUAGAUACCCUGGUAGUCCACGCCGUAAACGAUGAGUGCUAAGUGUUAGGGGGUUUCCGCCCCUUAGUGCUGCAGCUAACGCAUUAAGCACUCCGCCUGGGGAGUACGACCGCAAGGUGAAACUCAAAGGAAUGACGGC